rnacentral:rRNA from 1 species
AUUGAACGCUGGCGGCAGGCCUAACACAUGCAAGUCGAACGGUAACAGGAAGCAGCUUGCUGCUUUGCUGACGAGUGGCGGACGGGUGAGGAAUGUCUGGGAAACUGCCCGAUGGAGGGGGAUAACUACUGGAAACGGUAGCUAAUACCGCAUAACGUCGCAAGACCAAAGAGGGGGACCUUAGGGCCUCUUGCCAUCGGAUGUGCCCAGAUGGGAUUAGCUAGUAGGUGGGGUAACGGCUCACCUAGGCGACGAUCCCUAGCUGGUCUGAGAGGAUGACCAGCCACACUGGAACUGAGACACGGUCCAGACUCCUACGGGAGGCAGCAGUGGGGAAUAUUGCACAAUGGGCGCAAGCCUGAUGCAGCCAUGCCGCGUGUAUGAAGAAGGCCUUCGGGUUGUAAAGUACUUUCAGCGGGGAGGAAGGGAGUAAAGUUAAUACCUUUGCUCAUUGACGUUACCCGCAGAAGAAGCACCGGCUAACUCCGUG